rnacentral:rRNA from 1 species
GAUGAACGCUGGCGGCGUGCCUAAUACAUGCAAGUCGAACGAAACUUCUUUAUCACCGAGUGCUUGCACUCACCGAUAAAGAGUUGAGUGGCGAACGGGUGAGUAACACGUGGGCAACCUGCCCAAAAGAGGGGGAUAACACUUGGAAACAGGUGCUGAUACCGCAUAACCAUAGUUACCGCAUGGUAACUAUGUAAAAGGUGGCUAUACUACCGCUUUUGGAUGGGCCCGCGGCGCAUUAGCUAGUUGGUAGGGUAAAGGCUUACCAAGGCAAUGAUGCGUAGCCGAAUUGAGAGGUUGAUCGGCCACAUUGGGACUGAGACACGGCCCAAACUCCUACGGGAGGCAGCAGUAGGGAAUCUUCCACAAUGGGCGAAAGCCUGAUGGAGCAACGCCGCGUGGGUGAAGAAGGUCUUCGGAUCGUAAAACCCUGUUGUUAGAGAAGAAAGUGCGUGAGAGUAACUGUUCACGUUUCGACGGUAUCUAACCGGAAAGCCACGGCUAACUACGUG